GAUGAACGCUGGCGGCGUGCUUAACACAUGCAAGUCGAACGAUGAAGCCCAGCUUGCUGGGUUGAUUAGUGGCGAACGGGUGAGUAACACGUGAGUAACCUGCCCUUAACUCUGGGAUAAGCCUGGGAAACUGGGUCUAAUACCGGAUAGGAGCGUCCACCGCAUGGUGGGUGUUGGAAAGAUUUAUCGGUUUUGGAUGGACUCGCGGCCUAUCAGCUUGUUGGUGAGGUAAUGGCUCACCAAGGCGACGACGGGUAGCCGGCCUGAGAGGGUGACCGGCCACACUGGGACUGAGACACGGCCCAGACUCCUACGGGAGGCAGCAGUGGGGAAUAUUGCACAAUGGGCGCAAGCCUGAUGCAGCGACGCCGCGUGAGGGAUGACGGCCUUCGGGUUGUAAACCUCUUUCAGUAGGGAAGAAGCGAAAGUGACGGUACCUGCAGAAGAAGCACCGGCUAACUACGUG
rnacentral:rRNA from 1 species